rnacentral:rRNA from 1 species
AUGGCGGGGGAGGAUCUCGCCUUGGUGGAGGCGCCUCGAAUCCGCCAGUCCAUCCCUUGCUUCCCAUCCACCCGACCUCCCGCAAAAGCGUUGGAGAGGGUAGAGGCGCGCAUGUGUUGCUUGGCUGCCACUUGGCCGGAAUUAAUGGAGAUGGGGGAGGUUGGUGGGCAUGUGGAAUGGCGUAGCGCAGUGCAACACGGGGCGGGAGGCACAUCAAGCGUAGCACCGCCGAAGCUUCCGGGUGAAUUUUCUUCCCCACCAGUCCACCACGGGCUGCCGCAUGAUCCCCUCUGUGUCGCCACUCCAGACAGACACGGAGUACUCCCAAGGGACCCGGAGGGCCAUGGGCCUGGACGUUGGGGAGUGGUUGCGAAGGACGGGGUGAAUGCUGAGGUGGGCGCUGAUUGGCUCUGCCUGGCUUUGCCGUUGCUAAUUUUGAUGUUCUUCUUUACUGUUAUUGCGUAUAUAGAGAUGUCUGAUGACUCUGAUCCAGCGAGGUGGAGGAGGAUCUCCGGCACAAAUGCCCGGGAGGAGGAGAUGCCAUGGUGCUUGAGCACAUAUGGUCGCUCCCCAAGUACAACAGCAGGAAGCAGUGGGCAUAAAGGAGAGAGUAAGAACGCCUACUAUGCCCUCCGCAAGGAGUUUCGGUCCAUCUUUGAGAGUGUCGAGGCGUCGGGCCAGACCGGGGCCGUCUGGGACGACGACAAGAGGAACCGGGUGUACGAGAUGAUGGCCUCGGCGGUACCAGGUGACCUACCACCCCAAAUGGGUCGUGCGGUCGAGGGAUUCGUUGGAGCCCGACUACAAGGAGGAGGAGGCACCGGCGAGGCUUAG